rnacentral:rRNA from 1 species
UAGUACUGCGAGUGAAGCGGGAAGAAGCUCAAAUUUAAAAUCUGGCRGUUCUGCUGUCCGAGUUGUAAUCUGUAGAAGCAUUUUCUGCRUUGGACUGUGUACAAGUCUCUUGGAAUAGAGYGUCAUAGAGGGUGAGAAUCCCGUCCAUGACACAGAAUACCAAUGCUAUGUGAUAUGCUCUCAAAGAGUCGAGUUGUUUGGGAAUGCAGCUCAAAAUGGGUGGUAAAUUCCAUCUAAAGCUAAAUAYWGGCGAGAGACCGAUAGCGAACAAGUACCGUGAGGGAAAGAUGAAAAGCACUUUGGAAAGAGAGUUAAACAGUACGUGAAAUUGUUGAAAGGGAAACGCUUGAAGUCAGUCACAUUCUGUAGAACUCAGCCUUGCCUAUUAGGCCUGGUGUAUUUUCUGCAGGAUGGGUCAACAUCAAUUUUGGUCAGUGRAUAAAGGAGGAAGGAAUGUGGCACCUGUGAAGGUGUGUUAUASCCUUCUUUCAUAUACAUUGACUGGGAUUGAGGAACUGCAGCAUGCCCUUGUGGCCAGGCCUUCAUGUUACAUGCUUAGGAUGUUGACAAAAUGGCUUUAAGCGACCCGUCUUGAAMCCC